GAACACAAAAUGGCGACACGUGGUUAGCAUUCGUCGCCAACGAGAAAUUGGGGUCGGCCCGAAAGCUCUAGAAUGCACCCCUCUUCCUCCCCGGGGCCUUCCACCUCCGCGAGUUUUAUGACUUAAAAAAGCCCACAGGCUGGUCUGAAGAGGAAGACAAACAUAAAGAUGAAGUGCUUAAUUCAAGGUCACACAAUGUCGGGGAUGGACCUCCAGAUUUCCUUACUGGUCACAGAAUUUUCCACACUCCUUGACAGAGGUGCUUAACCCUUAUCCAUCAGCAUUCUCAGACAGCACCUCCGGUUAGGGACAGUAUCUGACCGUCCGACAUCCCUGCAGCCCCCAUGUGUCACACAGACUCAGCCUCAGGUAGAUGGUUUCCGUAGAUGGUGGCUUUCUUUGGACCCUUGACAUCAACCAGUUACUAUUUGGGGACCAGAUGUGCAGAGGUAAUGAAUACCAGGGAAUCAGGAAACCACUGGAUCAGUUCUUUGAGCCACAGAACAACACUCAUCCCAGCAGCUGGGAAGCUAUCUGCAAAAGUCCAUCUGCAGAAAGGGCUUCCUGGUCUUGCGUGUGGCUGGGCCAUUUCUCUGGAUGCAGGUUUUUCAUUAUACAGUCUUCUCAAAGAACCA
rnacentral:lncRNA from 10 species